GCCAAGGUGCGAAGUGGAAGUGCUGACAGUCCUGUGACUGCUGCUUCCUCAACUGCUCAGUCAGUCCCUGUCCCCCUGCCUGGGAAGAACCCCACAGGCCUGCCUGUAGGCCAAAGCAACUCAGCUUCCCUGCCGGCUUCCAGCACUCACGCUCCAACACAUGGCACAGUUGUGCCCCUACAAAGGACCUCCUCAGCUCCACUGCAGCCUGGCUGGCAUCAUGGAGAUGUGGGCAAGGACAUCCGUGAGAACACUGACACUCGUUGGCAAGAGCUCUUCAACAUCAAGUUGCAGAUUGUGCAGUACCUGAAAGCAGUCUUUGUAGUCUGUGUAGUAGCAGCCACCUUUUUCCUGAUACUUGUAUUGGUGCUGUGCUGCACAGCAGCCUGCUACUGCCUGAAGAAAGCCAUGGGGUGAGUCGUGACUUUUAUGCCCCCCACUGCUUCCCUCCAGGGCUGCUCAAAGCCACGAAGCAUUUCUAGUCAGAGUGCUGUGGAGCAGUCACUUGGUGAUUGGGCAGAACCUGCCAGCUGCAGAUGAGGACUUGAGCAGCCUCCUCUCUCUACAGGAAACGCUCUGCAGAUCCAGGACACAAGCUGGAAACAGGCAGCUUCCUUUCCAGUCUGAAGAACAAGAGGAGCUCCCCUGACACAGCUCAAAUCUCAGCCAAAGAGCAGAUGCCAGAGCAGCCAUUGAAGACAGCACAAGUGGAGCAUCCACCCAGCCCACUGGAGACAGUGGCAGAGGAGCAGCCACGCAGAUCACAGGAGCCAGUGCCACAAAGGCAUCCAUCCAGCACACUGGAGACAGUGGCAGAGGAGAAUCCAUGGAGAUUACGGGAGCCAGUGCCACAAAGGCGUCCACCCAGCUCACUGGAGACAGUGGCAGAGGAGAAUCCAUGGAGAUUACGGGAGCCAGUGCCACAAAGGCGUCCACCCAGCUCACUGGAGACAGUAGCAGAGGAGCAGCCACGCAGAUCACAGGAGCCAGUGCCACAAAGGCAUCCAUCCAGCACACUGGAGACAGUGGCAGAG